AUUGCCAGCGCCCCCCUGGGAACAUUCAUCCAAAUGAAGCAGGCAUGCAGUGGCAGACCCAACAAUGGAAAUUAUUAGAGAGAGUGAUUCAUUUCCUCUUUUUCCUUUUUAGUACCAUCUGGCAACGUGAAUACAAGAAGGAAACAAAAAAUAAAAUAAAAUGCAGUUGUGCUCAGCCUGACAAAAGCUGGCUAACAAGGAGUGUUUUCAGCGAGAUGAGAACUGCAAGCACGUAUCUUACACUGACUUCCUAAGUGUUAGGAACCCACAGAUUUCUUCCUGUUAGGCAGCCCACAUGGCACCCUGGACUGGUCGGUGCAGGUUUCUGUUAUCGAAAGCUUUCUCUUUUGAAAACUGCUUACAGAGAGGGAAGAUACACUUGGCUUAUUUUGAUAGCUGCUCCGUUGCCAGAAGAACACCUACAGGAGGAAUGCUCUGUGGCAGAGAUGGAAUGGCGUGCGAAAAGGUGCUGGAGAACCACCGGCAUGAAAGAGAGCACUUCAUAUGAAAACAAAUGGCAAUGUUCUGCAUGGUUUGAAGGAUCGUCUUCUGGCUCAGACACUAGCCUGGGACUCAGAAGAUUUUGGUUCAGCUUCCAGUUUUGUCAUAGUCCUUCCCUGACCUUGAGCUAGGGAAUGUGUCAGUUAAAUUCAGUCUUUCUAUCAGAGAGUAAUAGUGCUAUUGCUUGACAAUAUUUCAUCCAUUUCAACUGCAACCUUUCUGAGGUAGGAGCUGUCUCUCACUGUGUGGUUGUACAAUGUCUUCAGUGCACUCAGGCUUCUUAGCUGGGGCCUUUAAGAUCUAGUAACAAGAAUAAAGCUGAUUUAGAGGAUGGGUUUUUACUGCAGUUGUCAGUUGUGCUUGAUUAGUUCAGACUGGAUUUGGGGCUUCUGCUAAUCUGUUAACUUAAUGCAAAAUGUAGAAUAUUGCAGUAUGUUCAGGAAUUUGGGGAAAUAUUUACUUUUGUCUUUUUUGAGAGUUGGUUUACUGUUAUGUCAAUUCAGGGAUCCUCCAGAAGUAUUUGAAGCCUCUCCUCUGAUUGUAGCUCAGAGAACCAGUAAGUUUCCUGCAAUGUUGUACGUGCUAAAAAGAGUGAAAUGAGCAAACUUCAGCUUGUCAGACAUAAAACACUGUGAUGGAUGGUAUUCAUUUCAUCUGUUCUCAGCUCACGUGCCCUUGUCUGCUGUUGGAAAAAAAGACUGUCUUUCUGCUGCUGCUGGGAGGAAGGCUCCCUGCCCAUGCAGUUAACUGCAGCCUUCUGAAGCAGAAGGAGAAGGUUCCUGCGACAGAGCAGAUGGAGCCUGCUUGUGUCAGGGAGAACCUCUUACACUGAGGUAGGCAAGAGCAAGCCAAGAGUGAGAGAAGAAAGUCUGAAGGGAAUCGUAGGCAAGAUGUGGUGAAUAGGAGACUACCAAAAUAACCCAGAAGCGUACUGCCAGGUUACACUGUCAGAAGAAAUAACUGCUUUGGGAUGCAGAGGAUGUUGUGCAGAGCUUGUGCAACCU
rnacentral:lncRNA from 1 species